CCCCCGUCGCGCUCGGCGUCUGCCUCGGCCUCAUCGGCCUCUGGUGGGUGCUCGACGCCCGCAAGUGGUUCAAGGGCCCCGUCAGGAACAUCGACGACCUCCACGCCAAACCCGACGACAACAACGGCAAGGUCUAGCUUUCUUCAAUCAAGUUUAGCUCACCUUUUUAGCAGCAGAUCAUAAUCUCAAGCCAAAUCAAAUCACUCUCUCGAUCGAUUAGAAGUUUCUUUCUUUUCUCUCUCUUGUAUUUUCUCCUGUCUUGAUUAGCCAUACGUGUGACUCGCUCAGAACAGAACAUGCAAGCAUCAUGUAGAAACAGUUAUGAAAAGAGAAAAAACACGCAAAGCAUCAUGAAGAAACAGCUGAGCAAAGAAAAAUAUUGUGAGCACGAAGGAAGAGGAAGGAGCGUCUAAGAACAGUAGGCAUGAGAGGCAUCGGGAAAACACCGAAGCAUGUCUCUAAACCCGUUGGAUUUAGGGACCAAGACGGUUUUUAGGCUUUCCUCCAUGUUCACAUGCCGACUGCUCUUGUACACCCGUUCAUAUCUAUUUAUCAUCAUCAAACUGAAAUUUGUGUAUUGUGUGUUUAAGCCUAAGAUGCUCAUGCUGUAAUCACAUGAGUGAAAUAGAAAGAGGAAGGAGAACUAAGAAUGAUAGGAAUGGGAGGCAUCGAGAAAACACAAAGAGAGAGCGCAUGCUUUCUCGUAUGUUCCCAGUCCCAUUAUUCUUAGAACCUCUCUUUCUUCCUCUUUUACACCUCACCGCCAAGGCACACCUACACCUACAAGAGUUAUAUAUGAAUGUUUGGAUUCAUGGAUUUUUUUUCCCUUGUCACAUUGGACUUUUGGACGUUAAUUAGAAGAAAUUAAAUAUAAACUGAUAACAGAACUAACUGUAUAAAUAAAUGUUAUUUCAUUAGACAAAUUUUUUAAGGCUAAUUAAUCCACGAUUAGCAAAUAUUUACUGUAGCACCACAUUCACUAAUCAUGGAUUAAUUAGGCUUAUUAGAUUCGUUUCGCGAAAUAGUCUUGAGUAUGAGAUGGAUUUUAUUAAUAGUCUAUAUUUAAUAAUUUUAAUUAGUGUCUAAACAUUUAAUGUGACAGUGACAAAAAAAAUUGUGUGGAUCCAAACAGGAUCUAAGAUUUUUUUUGCAAUGUUUGAACAAUGCAACUUCUGAGGUACUACGUAUAACAACCUAGGCUCUAUAUAGAAGUAACAGGGACAGUAUUGAGAUCAAUGCACAGACCUACUCCAUGGUGCAAGGCAUCUUGGCCUUGUUUUGUUCCUAAUUUUUUUUUUCCAAAAACAUCACAUCGAAUUUUUAGACAUUUCAUCUAAAUAAAACAUUAAAUGUAUAUGAACCAAAAAACUAAUUGUACAGUUACGAAACAAAUCUUGAUACAAAUUUUUUUGAGCCUAAUUAAUUCAUGAUUAGCCAUAAGUGCUACAAUAACCAACAUAUGCUAAUGACGGAUUAAUUAGGCUCAAAAGUUUCGUCCCGCGGUUUCUAGGCUAGCCAUGAAAUUCGUUUUUUUCAUUCGUAUCCGAAAACUCCUUCUGACAUCCGAUUAAACAUUUAACUUGACAUUUAUCCCAAAAUUUUUCUCGAUCUAAAUACCCCCUUCCCUGGGUGGGUGGGCGGCUACGCGGUGCCCAUCUUCGCCCGGAUGGUGAUGCGGGAGGCCGACUUCUCGCCGGGCCCGUUCUACCUCCGCCGCGCCAGCCGCCCCGUCUGCCUCGUCGCCUUCCUCUGGAUCUGCUACACCUGCUCCGUCUUCCUCCUCCCGACCACCUACCCGAUCAGCGCUGGCAACUUCAACUACGCCCCCGUCGCGCUCGGCGUCUGCCUCGGCCUCAUCGGCCUCUGGUGGGUGCUCGACGCCCGCAAGUGGUUCAAGGGCCCCGUCAGGAACAUCGACGACCUCCACGCCAAACCCGACGACAACAACGGCAAGGUCUAGCUUUCUUCAAUCAAGUUUAGCUCACCUUUUUAGCAGCAGAUCAUAAUCUCAAGCCAAAUCAAAUCACUCUCUCGAUCGAUUAGAAGUUUCUUUCUUUUCUCUCUCUUGUAUUUUCUCCUGUCUU
rnacentral:lncRNA from 1 species